ACCAAGGGAGAAAAUGAGGCCCAUUGGGAGCCAUAUUGCAAAUUGUCAGUUCCAGACCAGCCAUUCUUCCCAUGGCUCUGGUGGACUGUCUGUCCAGAGCACUGCAUCAAUUCAUCAUGCGUAUUCAAGCACCUGUCACAGAGUAUGCUUCAAGGGAAUUUGACCUAAGAUACUCAGUUACACAAGGUGUGUGUUCUUGGGGUAGUCUUCUCUGUGGGAUUUGUAGUAGGUGAAAUUAUUUGACGCUAAGAAGAG